rnacentral:siRNA from 1 species
UAGAAAGGUUUCAGGAUGAGUA